UCGCUCGUCACGUCGCAUCCCACCCCGCCCGCCGCCGUCCUUCUGUGCGCGUGCGCACUUCCCUCUUGCAAAACCCUCGGCGAGAUAGUCAAGAAAGGCGAGCUUGCGUGGGUGGCAAAGUUAAGGGCGCCAUCUACGGGUAGAUCUGACUCGCUUGUGGGCCUCGACCCGAGGAGAGUCGGGAAGGAAGAGAGACCCGGUGAGAGAGGAGGCCCACCCAGGAGGAGAAGUCAGUUGGAGGACACUGAGGGGGCUGCGGAGGUGCAGGACUCCCGAGGAGGACGCUGGAGAGAGGGAAGGAGGACAAAGGAGUCAGGAGUGUUCAGGCCUGGCCUAAACCAGCAGAACAAAGCAAACGGGCUUUCAGCGGACAACAGCAGCUUCUCAGAAAAUAGAGCAAGAGGAAGAGGCAGACAAGGUAAAUGUUGGGCUGCUGAAUCCUGCACUGCAGACUUCUUGAGGAAUGCCCGUGGGCAGGGCUGAGCAGGAAUCUAUCCCAACAUUUAAAGACCUCAGUUUAUUCACUGUCCGUUGGGGGACAUCCUGGAGGGACUGCAGAGAUGAGUGUCAGCUUCAGGGACCUGAAGGCCCGCCGCACUCCCACUCCAUUGGAGCCAGCUUGCACGUUCUGCACAGUGUGGGAGCAGCCCCGAGCAUGGGGAGCACAGCCCUUCGGCUCUUCCUGGGAUGAGCCUGCGGGGAGGCUCUGAAAGGGACUUCUUCCAGCAGAGCAUACACAGCUUUAAGCCAUAUGCCUUUGCCUGAAACAAGAAAUAAAGCAAGAGGUGCAAAGGAAUACAUUAAU